rnacentral:lncRNA from 1 species
AUGGAUGCUUCUGGACAAUGCUUAGCCGAAACCUGUGAAAGAAUGGAUUGUUCUCAAUGCUUGUGUCAGGAAAAGGUGUUAGGAACCUUUGCUCCAGAUUCUCUAGCAAGCUCUGAGUCACAGCUGGAAAUUAGAGGAAGGACGAAGAAGCCAAUUCAGUGCGUGUUUCCAGGACCCGUUCAACAAAUAGCCGAGUUCUGCCAAGAUCUCUGCCGGCUCCCAUGAUUCCAAGCUCUCAGCUUGACUUGGCUCAGUGGACACUCAUUCCCCAUUACCUCACCUUGAAAGGAAAAGAAGGGGUGUUUAAAAUAGGAAGAGGGAUUACAAAAGAAGUUUUUGUUUUUUUUUCCCCCCGGUGAGGGCAUCUAGGGGGAGUCAGUCAAGCCUCAGACUUUUUUUGAAAAAUCUCAUUUUCUCAGAAUCUCUCAUUUCCU